rnacentral:lncRNA from 1 species
UGGGAUUAAAUUUAUGUAUGUUACUAGCUAGAGUAGAAACAAAGGUCAAACAUUCAAAAACUCAAAGGUGCGUGUAAGUCGGCUUGGUUUCAUAUAACAAUUCAAACGGAGUUUUAUGCUUAAUGAAAAAUGAGGGUGGUCGGUUGAGUAAAUAUCCAAUUGGGGGAAUGAUAUCACUCAAGCAGUUCAAGCCGAGAUCAUUUUAAAAAUUCAAGGCCCUAGCUAC